UCACAGCCAAAGGGCCCUUCACCUGAAGGUUCAAAUUCUACUAGACUCACGCGUACAAGAACCCAUUUCUUUCUACUCCUGUUCCGAUAGUGAGGGCUUAUCUCAUCGAUGGACAGGGAAGCUGGGACAGACCCCAGGGAGAGCGCACCAUCACAUCGAUAUGCACUUGUAUUGGUUCUGCCAAAGGACAUUUCGACAAAACCCACAGCUAAUUAUUGGCAGCUUGAAAUUGUGCCCCGCAGUGAAAGCAAACAGCAACGAUGUGACGAAAUGCUGGGUGUUUGUGCCACCUGGCUAAGCACCUGUAAACUAAAGGAGACAUUGCAAGCAUGCCUGACCCAGGGCUCACAGCUACCCAAGUACUCUGCUAGGUACUUGGAGAUGAAAGUCGUUAAGAACAAAUCACAAACUCGUUUUAGUGAGAGACAGGUGACUGAUAUCUAGUGUUGGCUUAAAACUGGAAAUUCAUCUGAAAGAAAGUAAAACUUGACUUCUGUUGUUA